CACAGGAGUGUGCUGCUGAGACCAGCUUCUUCUUCUACUUUAAAAAUGUUCAUAUACAUGUGUAUUAUAUCAGCAAAAUGAAACAGAAAAAACCCAGUAAACAAGCAAUAACAAAACGACCAAACAAUGCUCCCCCAAACCAGUUUAGGCCAAGCAUGGAACUACAUGGCAAUGUCCUAAGUGCCUCCAGUCUUUCUGCAGGUCACACUUAAGACACACCUGCUUAAUGAGCACGCUCGUCAGUCUUGAGCUACUAUGAGCCUGUGGGCUGCUACAGGGGAGCCAUGGCGCAAUUACUGCCGGGUAGUUCGAGCUGCUACCUGGGCAUCCGUGCCUUUGUUUACGGCUCAGAUGAACAGAUUUUAAUGAUCCAGAGAAAAUGAGCACAAGCUGCUGCUGCCAGUUAAUAUGAAUUCUGAAUAAAUAAAUGCAAAUGGAGUUGUGGGUGACAAUGGCUCCCUUUU
rnacentral:lncRNA from 1 species